AGCCUUGCAUCCUAGAACUGACUGAAUU
rnacentral:misc_RNA from 1 species